rnacentral:rRNA from 1 species
GACGAACGCUGGCGGCGUGCUUAACACAUGCAAGUCGAACGGAAAGGCCCUGCUUUUGUGGGGUGCUCGAGUGGCGAACGGGUGAGUAUCACGUGAGUAACAUGCCCUUGACUUUGGGAUAACUUCAGGAAACUGGGGCUAUUACAGGGUAGGAGAUCCUGCUGCAUGGGGGGGGUUGGAAAGUUUCGGCGGUUGUGGAUGGACUAGCGGCUUAUCAGCUUGUUGGUGGGGUAGUGGCUUACCAAGGCUUUGAAGGGUAGCCGGCCUGGGAGGGUGGCCGGCGACCUGGGGACUGAGGUACGGCCCAGUCUCCUACGGUCGGCAGCAGUCGGGAAUAUUGCGCAGUGGGCCGGCGCCUGAUGCGGCAACGCCGCGUUCGUGAUGAUGGCUUACGGGUUAUAAACCGCUUUCUCCGGUGACGAAGCGGUAGUGACGGUAAUGGGUAAGAAAGCACCGGCUAACUACGUG